rnacentral:ncRNA from 1 species
GGGACUGCCUGGGUUAACCAGGAGGAAGGUGGGGAUGACGUCAAAUCAUCAUGCCCCUUAUGCUCUGGGCUACACACGUGCUACAAUGGCCGGUACAAUGAGUUGCAAAACCCCGUGAGGGGGAGCUAAUCUCAAAAACCGGUCCCAGUUCGGAUUGUAGGCUGCAACUCGCCUACAUGAAGCCGGAGUUGCUAGUAAUCGCGGAUCAGCAUGCCGCGGUGAAUACGUUCCCGGGCCUUGUACACACCGCCCGUCACACCAUGAGAGCCGGCAACACCCGAAGCCAGUGGGCUAACCCGCAAGGGAGGCAGCUGUCGAAGGUGGGGCUGGUGAUUGGGGUGAAGUCGUAACAAGGUAGCCGUAGGAGAACCUGCGGCUGGAUCACCUCCUUU